rnacentral:rRNA from 1 species
UACGGAGGGUGCAAGCGUUAUCCGGAUUCACUGGGUUUAAAGGGUGCGUAGGUGGGUCUGUAAGUCAGUGGUGAAAUCUCCGAGCUUAACUCGGAAACUGCCAUUGAUACUAUAGAUCUUGAAUUAUCUGGAGGUAAGCGGAAUAUGUCAUGUAGCGGUGAAAUGCUUAGAUAUGACAUAGAACACCAAUUGCGAAGGCAGCUUACUACGGAUAUAUUGACACUGAGGCACGAAAGCGUGGGGAUC